GACGAACGCUGGCGGCGUGCUUAACACAUGCAAGUCGAACGGAAAGGCCCUGCUUUUGUGGGGUGCUCGAGUGGCGAACGGGUGAGUAACACGUGAGUAACCUGCCCUUGACUUUGGGAUAACUUCAGGAAACUGGGGCUAAUACCGGAUAGGAGCUCCUGCUGCAUGGUGGGGGUUGGAAAGUUUCGGCGGUUGGGGAUGGACUCGCGGCUUAUCAGCUUGUUGGUGGGGUAGUGGCUUACCAAGGCUUUGACGGGUAGCCGGCCUGAGGGGGUGGCCGGCCACAUUGGGACUGAGGUACGGCCCAGACUGCUACGGGAGGCAGCAGUGGGGAAUAUUGCACAGUGGGCGGAAGCCUGAUGCAGCAACGCCGCGUGCGGGAUGACGGCUUUCGGGUUGUAAACCGCUUUCGCCUGUGACGAAGCGUGAGUGACGGUAAUGGGUAAAGAAGCACCGGCUAACUACGUG
rnacentral:rRNA from 1 species